rnacentral:tRNA from 1 species
GCCCCCAUCGUCUAGCGGCCUAGGACACAGCCCUUUCAAGGCUGCGGCAGGGGUCCGAAUCCCCUUGGGGGCA